rnacentral:rRNA from 1 species
GAUGAACGCUGGCGGCGUGCCUAAUACAUGCAAGUCGAGCGAACAGACGAGGAGCUUGCUCCUCUGACGUUAGCGGCGGACGGGUGAGUAACACGUGGAUAACCUACCUAUAAGACUGGGAUAACUUCGGGAAACCGGAGCUAAUACCGGAUAAUAUAUUGAACCGCAUGGUUCAAUAGUGAAAGACGGUUUUGCUGUCACUUAUAGAUGGAUCCGCGCCGCAUUAGCUAGUUGGUAAGGUAACGGCUUACCAAGGCAACGAUGCGUAGCCGACCUGAGAGGGUGAUUGGGCACACUGGAACCGAGACACCGGCCAAAACCCCAAGGGAGGGCACAGGGGGGAAUUCUUCCGAAUGGGGGGAAGCCCGAACGAGGCAACGCGGGUGGGUGAAUAAGGUUUUUCGAUUCGAAAACCCUUUUUAUUGGGAAAAAAAAAAUGGUAAAGAAACUUUGCCGGUUUGAAGGGAACCAAAUAAAAAGGCCCGGCCAACUUCGGG